rnacentral:rRNA from 1 species
CCUACGGGAGGCAGCAGUGAGGAAUAUUGGUCAAUGGCCGUAAGGCUGAACCAGCCAAGUCGCGUGAAGGAAGAAGGAUCUAUGGUUUGUAAACUUCUUUUAUAGUGGAAUAAAGGUAUCCACGUGUGGAUAUUUGCAUGUACCCUAUGAAUAAGCAUCGGCUAACUGCGUGCCAGCAGCCGCGGUAAUACGGAGGAUGCGAGCGUUUUCCGGAUUUAUUGGGUUUAAAGGGUGCGUAGGUUGUUUUUUAAAUCAGCGGUGAAAGUUUGUGGCUCUAACAUAACAUUGCCGUUGAAACUGGAAGUCUUGAGUGUGUUUGAGGUAGGCGGAAUGCGUGGUGUAGCGGUGAAAUGCAUAGAUAUCACGCAGAACUCCGAUUGCGAAGGCAGCUUACUAAGCCAUAACUGACACUGAAGCACGAAAGCGUGGGGAUCAAACAGGAUUAGAUACCCCAGUAGUC